ACAAUGACGUUAUCAACUGUCAGCUCGACGCCGAAGGAGUAGCCGUAGGUCAGGGCCAGAAUCCAAGACCUGGGGGUGGCGGGUGGGCGUUGGUGGGAAGGGUGGCGGAGCGGGGCAAGGGCUUAGUUAUGGCAGCUAUGGGGAGCAUUUUGGGGCGAGACCGGCGCAACUCUCGGCGGGCGGAGCCAUGCGCCCAACGACACGCUAGACUACUGACGCAUAGUAAUGCCUUUUGCGGAACACACGGCCCUGUCACGCGCGCCACAUGCUUGAAACGCACCUGUAGUUGCCGAGGCCGCACUUGAUGACUGGCCACAUGUUGCCCUUGGCCUUGAGCGUGCCCUCCUUCUUCAGGUCACGGUAGUCCUUGCCGCUGGGGUGGUCAAUGCCCAGGAGCAGGGUCAGGGUGGCGGUGACAAUGUAGAUGCCGCCGGGGACGAAGAAAGCCCAACGCCAGGCCUGGUAGCCGGGAACGCCGCCGUCCUUGAUGCCCUGGUAGAUGAGCGGCAUGAUGAAGUGGCAAGCGCCGCCACCCAUGUUGCCCCAGCCGGCGGCGAUGGCGUUGGCGGUGCCGACGAUUUGCACGUUGAACAUGGUACCGCACCAGAACUGGCAGCACACGAACAUGCAGAGCGAGAGACCGAUAAAGAAGCGCACACAGGCGAAGGUGGAGAAGUCGGUGACCAGGGCCAUGCAGAAGACGGCGGGUGCGGUCAUGAGCAUGGCGGCAGCGGCGCCGUAGCGGGGACCUGUCGAGAACCCGGAAAGCAAGGAGGGGUACGUAAGUGCGCGUUCACCAGUUAUGCGGCUAAGAGCGGAGAUCUGGGAUGCUCGCGGUCCAUCCCUACCAAGGCCGCAGCGGAAUCAUGCCGACACCAGGCGUACAUGCAUCCCACACAAAGCAGGCUGCCCGCACGGGGCCUGCUGGCAGGUCUUGGCACGUAUACGCGCACACACAACAAUGGGCCACAUGCCUCCGACGUCCUCAUGAAUGAAAUACGCAUGCAGCUUCAAAGCGAACUCACCUACGACGUCGACGAAGAUGCCCAUGAAGAGACGCGCCGCGAUGGCACCGCACACGGCGGAGACGCCGGCGUUGCCCACCUCCGACUUGGUCAGGAACAGGUCAUCACGGAUAACGGGCGCGAGCGAGGCAGGCGCAAAUGUAGCGACGAAGGACAUGAAGAAGCAAAUCCAGGACAGGUGGAAGGCCAUCAUGCUGCGGAGGAGAGGAGAAGGAGGGAAGGGCCAUGGGAAGGGGCGGCGGGGGCGUCAGGGUAAGGGCGUUUGGGCGUUUGAUGGUGUGUUGGCGCCAUGCCCGGAGUCGCUAACGACUGGCGGGAGCCGUAAACGAACUGACGGCUUGACAUCAAAGCAGUUCUACAUGACCCUGUGCCGCGUCGAGCCAAAAUUCCGAGCGCGCGCCGUCGCUCAACACCCGCGACUCAAAGACGACCAUGCCAGGAUGGCACGGGGCCUCGCUAGCUCGCGCUGCUCGAUCGAACGUCUGCACGCCCCCGCCCCUCCGACAGCCCGGCUCACUGUGGUUGCGUGAAGCGCCAUACCGGCACAUAUUUAGCUUUCCCCUCGGAGUCGAGCGCAUAUGGGUACUUCUUCUCAACGGUGGCCAUCUUUAUAAAUCUCGUGUUCCACUAAGUUGUAUUAAGAAACACGGGUUGUGAACUACCGAAUUUAUGGGGGCCGAUGGAGAUGAAAACUCUGCUGCGCCCCUUCGUGCACGGGGCGCACCCACUUUUCGUUUCCACAGUGACCCCUCGUCAACGGCCAGCGCAUCGCAUCUGAAAUGUCUCGUUGUGGUCCAAUUAUUCACUGGAGCCGCGGAAGGGGCGCGUCUCAAGCUUCAGCGUCCGCAAAGCCACGUCCGUGUCUGACUAAUGACAGCCUCGAUCGCAAACGCUGCGUCCUUAUUUGCACGCAAAGCUUGUGCUCGCCCGCAGACGAGCAGGCACAUGUGCUCGGUCUUAGCACGUGUGCCGGUCUUUGUUCGUUUGGCCGAGAAGUUUUUUAACGGCACGUGAGGCGCCACGGGGGAGUGGAAAGCGCGAGGACCCCCGACAUGAGUAACGCAACUCCGUUUUGCAGGGCUGAGUUUUGCCGCGCCCUGAUGGCCAGUUAGAACUCGGAGCCAGCCGCGCAGUACGGGCCACGAGGUGGGCGCGCAGUUGGCUUUCGUGUCGUCACCGUCACAUACAGGCAGAUGGGCAGGCGCAUGGCGGGAGGCAUAUGUGUGCACAUGCUUGGACGUGCGAAGGCGGGGUCCAAGGCGCGCCAGUAAUCCUCGUGAAUGAAUCAUGCUUAGGUGCGGUGCUGCAGGGAUAGGGGCAGGGCAGCGUGGCGUAGUCACGAUGUGAUAAUGCGCGCGUAUUCCCAUACCCACGUCCCAGACCCCAGCACGAAGUAUCAAGUUGCAACGGAAUUGCGGUACCGAAUGAAGAGCGGGAGAGGGAGUUUGUGUGUGUGUGUGUGUGUGUGUGUGUGUGUGUGUGUGUGUGUGUGUGUGUGUGUGUGUGUGUGUGUGUGUGUGUGUGUGUGCGUGCGUGCGUGCGUGGAUGCGCUUGGUGCGUUGGUGCCAAUGCAGCCUGAUUAAUCACACCUGGCCUCACUGCUACAGCCUUUUCAGCAGUGUUGCACGCACCACAGUUCAAAAAGGCUGAAGCGUUGCAAGAGAAAGACGCAGCGCACAGGGAAGGAUGAUGUUUCUUCGAUAUUUACAGUCCGCGGUGUCCUGGGAUCGCUGUCCCGACCCGUGGGAUGUACGCGCGCGGCCCCUGCAGCAGGCUGUGAUUGGCUGCUCAUGCACACACGCAUCUCACCAUCCGCGCUCAUAUCCUUUUGGCACGGAAGCAGCAUCAACUACACACAUUGCGUUGGCUACUCCCACACUCAGCUUAGUACAAAAGCAGUUGUAAAAUACAUUGACUCUGUGCUUCAGCCGCACAGUGUCAUCUGCAAUAACGCUCUCCUUAAUCACCGCACACCUGAACAUCUAUCUUCAUCCUAUACUCCUACCCCAUCUAAUUCAAACCCUCUGGCCCCGCGCGGAUGCCGAAGCACUCCUGCCACACUGCACUCAAAAUACACUUCGUAGCACAAAGUGCUCAGACUCCCGACUCAUAAAUAAUUCUCAGCUCGAUUCGCACUCCGUCAAUGGUCUAUGCCGUGCAUGUGUCAAUGUCACACCAACCCAGCGCAACACACAUCACUGUCCGUCCGCUGCUUUUGUGUCAAAAGUCAAGAAGCUUCACACGCCGACCCUGGCGGCGCCAACUGAGAUCAACGUGGAUGCCACGAUCACUUCAGUGCCACAGCUACCUGGCUAAGGGGUCCGGAAGCGGCUGCCCUGUCACACAACAAGCACGGCGGCAAGCGCAAGCAAGAGCCAUAUGAUGCCCGGCCUCCCCAGUCUCCACACAUGCCACACUACGCAGAUGUGAGCCUUCGCUCGACACCAUGCGGUUGCAGCUAUAAAAGGCACAUAUGUAUAACGCCGUCUGGCUCAUGCGGAAGUCGGGCAGGCUCAUGCGGGCGCCUCGCUAGCUCUUAAGCUAGUUGGCGAGAGCCACGGAUGGCCCUAAUACCGUUGGGGCAUGUCACACCCGUGGAGGGCACUGUAUAACGCCGCCGCCUGCUCCAUGCCAGCGGUCCGGCCAAACACAUACACCGUGUGCCCGGCAUUCAACACACCCAUGCACGGGUACCUCCCAACUUUUCCCUAACUUAUUUAGUAUGAGCCCUGCCCAUAUGCAGAGCUUGCUAGUCGCUGCAGCCCGUAGCACCUAGGCUCUGAGCUAGCACGCAUCUUAUUAGACCACCACGGGCUUGGCAGCAGCGGGCUCCGAGUCGGAGUUGCUGUGGGACUCGAGCGGGGCGCCGGCGGCGCGCUUGUCCCGAGUGCCGCGCUGCGACCUGUUGAGUUGGUUGCAGAGGGGAGCGGGCAGUGCGGGCAGCAUGUCAGAGGACGGGCCGUGCAAUGGGCGCAUAAGGACUGGAGCUCAAGGUACAUGUGAGGGCCCACAGCGCAGCGCAGCGCACCCUCGCAUCCUCUUUGCAUGACGCAUGUUCUAGUAUACACAUUACACGUAUGCACACAAGCAAGCAAGCAGGCGCAUCCAUGCAAGAGACAAGCACUACUCACUUGGACUCCAUGGCGAAGCGCAUCGAGCCCUGGUGCAGGCCCGACGCCACCUCCUCCGCACUCCACUCGCGCAUGUAGUAGUCCUCCUCCUCGGCGCCCUCGCGCGGCCCAGUCAGCAUGGAGCCCCACAUGGGGAACCAGAUGAAGAACAGCGGCAGCGUGAGGCCGAUGGUCAUGAUACCCAUGUAGACAAACCCGUCGGCCUUGCUCAGGCUGCGGGGCGAGAGGGAAGAAGGAACGGGGGCGAAGGGAGGGAAGGGAGGGAGAGGGUCAGUCGACACUUGCUUGCGGGAGGCAUGAACUUGGAGAGCAUCAAGCCUACAUUGCGCGAGGUUGCAGAGAAAGGAGCGGCCAUCCUGGCGCUUUUUCCUAGGUAGGCCGCACUCCUAUGCACACAUGUGAAGUGUAAGGCUAAGCCUUUCUAGGUGGGUCAGUCCAGUACUCACGUCAGUUGCCACGGCGCGGUGCCAGCGAACCAGAUGGCUUGCGUGAUGGCGGCGCCGGUGUUGCCGCCGGCACCCACCAGACCAGACACGACACCGUAGGCGCGGCGCGACACAAAGGGCGUGAUGCCGAAGUGCAGGCCGCAUGCUUGCUGGCAGAAGAUGGAGAAGACGAUCAUGAUGACGAUGGUGGACGACAGAGAGUUGCUGACCUUGCCCAGAACGAUGCAGAAGAUGCCCCCCAGGGUCUGGAUGAUCCAGAGGGCCCAGAUGCGGCCGCGCAUGCCGAACGGCUUGGCAACCAAAUCAGAGAUCAUGCCGCCAGUAGCACGAGUGAAGAGGUUCAUGAGGCCGAAGAUGGCGCCGAGGGCGCCCGCCACCGCAAGGUUGAGGCCAAACUGGUCAAAGAGGUACUCCACAAUGACGUUGUCAACUGUCAGCUCGACGCCGAAGGAGUAGCCGUAGGUCAGGGCCAGAAUCCAAGACCUGGGGGUGGCGGGUGGGCGAGGGUGGGAAGGGUGGGGGAGCGGGGCAAAGGCUUAGCUGCGUGGGAGUUUGGAGGCAAGACCAGCGUAACUGUCAGGCGGGGCACUAGGUGGCAUUGGCGCUAUAUCAAGAAGUGGCAGACAUGAAGCGGCAGGGUUUGACAGUGUCAUAGGCACGGACCCACGCACACGCACGCACACGCAGACACUUGAAACGCACCUGU
rnacentral:lncRNA from 1 species